UACGUAGGGGGCGAGCGUUGUCCGGAAUCACUGGGCGUAAAGGGUGCGUAGGCGGGUCUUUAAGUCAGGGGUGAAAUCCUGGAGCUCAACUCCAGAACUGCCUUUGAUACUGAAGAUCUUGAGUUCGGGAGAGGUGAGUGGAACUGCGAGUGUAGAGGUGAAAUUCGUAGAUAUUCGCAAGAACACCAGUGGCGAAGGCGGCUCACUGGCCCGAUACUGACGCUGAGGCACGAAAGCGUGGGGAGCAAACAGG
rnacentral:rRNA from 1 species